CUCGCAGUCUUUCCGUUAUUAAUAACGGACACUGGCAGUAUCCCGGCACAAAAUCCCGGAAACAUCUCGUUCGUGAAAUUCAACGAAUCUCCGAAUGUAAUUUCGAAUCGUUGUGUCUUCGUUUUGGUGUACUUUCAAAUUCGUGGAAAGAGAGUGUGCCGUCUCGUGGAUUACACGUCGUAUCAUUUAAACGAGAAUUCGCGAAAACGGGCGUGCCUUGGACAAUCGGCGACGUCCCUGACGUGAAAAUACACAACGGCGAGAAGUGGUGGACAACGACAGCAAGACAUCGACUGCGGUUAACAUUGCGACAAAAAGGACUAACAGUCCGAUAGAAGCGAUAGAGCAGAGGAACAAAGAAAAGGGAAACGAGGAAAAUAAAACCGAACGGCAAUCGUAACAGGAGCAGUGGUAACAACGGUGACGGGAAGGGAAAAGUACAAGCUACAACGGUGGAGAGGAACGCGAUACAGCCGCGUGAUUUUGAACGCGAACACAGACGUAACUGUCAACGGUCAGAUUUGAAAGUCUCGCAAAUUGCAGGGUCCUCGUAAGGCUUCCCUCGCGAGAAUCGUUGUAUUUUCGUCACGUCAACAUCGUUAACGUCGUGUCAUAUUGUCGCCGUCUUUGUCGUCGUCGUCGUCGUCGUCGUCGUCGUCAUCGUCGUCGUUGUGUUCGAUCCGGUGAAAAACCGGUCGUCUUAUAAUAUUAACCACGGUGUGAGAACGCGACUAAAUGACCAUGGACCUCCGCAUGUACAACAUCGAGACCGGCUACAGUAUAAAUAUCAAAAGGACGGACGGUCGUGUUCAUUCGGCAGUGGUUUCGGGUAUUAAUUGGGAACAACGCACCGUUACCGUAGAAUGGUUCGAGAGAGGAGAGACGAAAGGGAAAGAGGUCGAGAUAGAUGCGAUCAUCGCGUUGAAUCCCGACCUGACCAAUCAGAAAACCAUAGAAUCACCCGCUCAGAUGAACAAUCACACGUUGAUAUCUUCCAGAGCACGGGAUUCUUCGGACGAGGAAGACGAGGGGGUGGACGAGUCGGAAAACCAAGAGGAGGGGCCCCUUGGACGGCACAGCGGUCACACCGCAAGAAACGGCCUCGCAUCCGCCACACUUCCUCAUUCGAUCAAGCCAUCGAUUCCAGUGAAAGCGGGUUUCAACAGACAAUCGUCGCGACAAACGGGUCGGCCAACCAACAUAAUGCCGCCUGGCAGCACCGUGAACGGCCACGGUGACUCUGUGGCUGGAUUAACAGGUCGAAGGGAGGUGGAGAACGUGCCCACGCCCACCACGGCCACGGCCGCUUCCUUCAACGUCACCCUCUCGGCUCUGGCCAAACAGAAGCAGCAGCAGCAGCAACAACAGCAGCAGCAGCAACAGCAGCAGCAGCAACAGCAGGGGGCACAACAGGUGGAGAACGGUCGUGGAAGACGAACGAACGUGGUGAAAGAGGUGGAGAGGUUGAAGAAGAACAGGGAGGAAAGAAGGCAGAGGCAAGCCGAGUUAAAGGAAGAGAAGGAGGCUCUGAUGAAUUUAGAUCCUGGUAAUCCAAAUUGGGAGUUUCUCGCUAUGAUAAGGGAGUAUCAGAACAGCAUCGAGUUCAGGCCGCUCCGGGAGUCGGACGUGGUCGAGGAUCACCAGAUCACCGUGUGCGUGAGAAAGCGCCCCCUGAACAAGAAGGAGAUGGCGCGGAAAGAGGUGGACGUGAUCAGCGUGCCCAGCAAGGAUCAAAUGGUGGUACACGAGCCGAAGGCCAAAGUCGAUCUCACCAAAUAUUUGGAGAAUCAAAUUUUCCGUUUCGACUACGCGUUCGACGAGACGUGCAACAACGAGAUCGUGUACAAGUACACGGCCAAACCUCUGGUCCAGACCAUCUUCGAGGGUGGGAUGGCCACCUGUUUCGCCUACGGUCAAACGGGAAGCGGGAAAACCCAUACGAUGGGCGGUGAUUUUAACGGGAAAACCCAGGAUUGCAAGAAAGGUAUAUACGCGAUGGUAGCCAACGACGUGUUUAAAUGCCUCAAAUUGUCCAAGUAUCGCUCCCUUAAUCUCAUCAUUUCCGCGAGCUUCUUCGAAAUUUAUUCGGGGAAGGUGUUCGAUUUAUUGGCGGACAAGGAAAAGCUUCGCGUGUUGGAGGACGGGAAACAACAGGUGCAGAUUGUCGGAUUGACGGAGAAGGUGGUGGAGUCGUGCGACGAGGUAUUGAAAUUGAUACAACACGGGAACAGCGCGAGGACCAGCGGGCAGACAAGCGCCAAUUCGAACUCGUCUCGGUCGCACGCCGUGUUUCAAAUCAUAGCCCGUACACCGGCCACCCAUAAAGUUCAUGGAAAAUUCUCGUUGAUCGAUCUUGCCGGAAACGAGAGAGGAGCCGACACGUCUUCCGCCAACAGACAGACUCGAAUGGAAGGUGCGGAGAUCAACAAGUCGCUGUUGGCCUUGAAAGAAUGCAUUCGAGCCUUGGGCCGCAAAGGAACGCAUUUGCCGUUUAGGGCUAGCAAGUUGACGCAGGUGUUAAGGGACAGCUUCAUCGGUGAAAAAUCGAAAACCUGCAUGAUCGCCAUGAUCAGUCCAGGAAUGAGCUCGUGCGAGCACUCGUUAAACACUUUGAGAUACGCGGAUCGAGUGAAGGAGUUGGCUGCCACUGAUCCAACGGAAGUGAAAAUUUCCUCGACGGACGACGAACGGGAAUUAAAAAUCGAGGCACAGUCGAACAACGUGUUGUCCGACAGCGACUUGGCGCAACUGCGAUCCCUGAACGAGAGCGAAAUAUCUCAAGAUCUUUACACGUUUCACGAGGCGGUAUCCGCGUUGCAAAUGCUGGAGGAGGAAGUCUUGGACACGCACAAAAUGGUUAUGGAUCAAACGACCAGAUUUCUCAAUGAUGCACACAGUGUGUUCAGUGUGACUCACGAAGUAGACUAUGACCAAGAAGAUUCACGCGGUAAAGAUAAGGCAAAGGCAAGUCGUCGGUUAGAAUCGAACUUAGAAGCCGGAAGGACAACAACAACAACAACGACGACGACGACAACAACAACGACAACACCAACAACACCAACAACUACAACAACUACAACAACAACAACAACAACAACAACAUUGAUUGAUACGUUUGAACGUAACGUCACAAACCGUUGCAGAUUUGAGACGGAAAAGAACAAAGUUUGAGUCGCCCGACCUGAGGAAGUUCUUGUUGCAUAGACGUCUGAUAGAGAGAUUACAAUUUUCCGAUGAGUAUGAAAA
rnacentral:misc_RNA from 1 species